GAUGGGAGCCGUUAUGGCUCGAUAUCCGGUUGUCCAGGCCGUCGAGAAAAGCCUCGGCGUGAGGGCCAUGGCCGCCCGUACCCCAAACCGACACCGGUGGUCAGGUAGAGAAUACCAAGGCGAUCGAGCGAAUCCUGGUCAAGGAACUCGGCAAAUCACUCCCGUGCCUUCGGUAUAAGGGAGACCCGCUGGGGUGAACCGGCUAGCCCGGGGAGCUUUGGUGGGUGGCACAGACCAGGGGGUAGCGACUGUUUACCAAAAACACAGGUGCAUGCGAAGGCGAAAGCCGCUGUAUAUGCACUGACGCCUGCCCGGUGCCGGAAGGUUAAGAGGAUCCGUCAAUCCCUUCGGGGACGAAGCGGUGAAUUCAAGCCCCGGUAAACGGCGGUGGUAACUAUAACCAUCCUAAGGUAGCGAAAUUCCUUGUCGGGUAAGUUCCGACCUGCACGAAUGGCGUAACGACUUCCCCACUGUCUCGACCAGGAGCUCGGCGAAAUUGCAGUACGAGUAAAGAUGCUCGUUAAGCGCAGAAGGACGAAAAGACCCCGGGACCUUUACUAUACCUUGGUAUUGGCGUUAGGCGCGGAUUGUGUAGCAUAGGCGGGAGGCUUCGAAGCGGGUGCGCCAGCAUUCGUGGAGCCGCAAGGUGAAAUACCGCUCUGUUCUCGUUUGACGUCUAACCUCGACAAGUCAUCCUUGUCAGGGACAGUGCCUGGCGGGUAGUUCAACUGGGGCGGUUGCCUCCCAAAGAGUAACGGAGGCGCUCAAAGGUCCGCUCAGCCCGGUUGGCAAUCGGGUGUCGAGUGUAAUCGCACAAGCGGGCUUGACUGCGAGGACGACGGUCCGAGCAGGGACGAAAGUCGGAGAUAGUGAUCCGGUGCCGGCGCACGGGCGCGGCAUCGCUCAACGGAUAAAAGGUACCCCGGGGAUAACAGGCUGAUCAUUCCCAAGAGUCCAUAUCGACGGGAUGGUUUGGCACCUCGAUGUCGGCUCGUCGCAUCCUGGGGCUGGAGCAGGUCCCAAGGGUUCGGCUGUUCGCCGAUUAAAGCGGCACGCGAGCUGGGUUCAGAACGUCGUGAGACAGUUUGGUCUCUAUCCUCUGCGCUCGUUGGAAUCCUGAGGAGGCCUGCCCAUAGUACGAGAGGACCUGGGCGGACGAACCUCUGGUAUGCCGGUUGUCGCGCCAGCGGCACGGCCGGUUGGCUACGUUCGGGAGGGAUAACCGCUGAAAGCAUCUAAGCGGGAAGCCUGCUCCAAGAUUAGGAUUCCAUGGAUCUUCGAGAUCCUGUAGCCCGCAUGUUGAACACGUGUUUGAUAGGCCGGAGGUGGAAGCCCCGUGAGGGGUGGAG
rnacentral:rRNA from 1 species